rnacentral:tRNA from 1 species
GGGGUCGUCGUCCAGCUUGGUUUAGGAUACCACCCUGGGGCGGUGGCGAUCGCCGGUUCAAAUCCGGCCGACCCCA